GGGAGUAUGGUGGAAUUGGCUAGACACAUGGGUUUUAAGGUCCCACGGGCAGAAAGUAAGUCCCAUGAGGGUUCGAGUCCCUCUACUCUCA
rnacentral:tRNA from 1 species